rnacentral:rRNA from 1 species
AGUGAACGCUGGCGGCAGGCCUAACACAUGCAAGUCGAGCGGCAGCGCGGGGGCAACCCUGGCGGCGAGCGGCGGACGGGUGAGGAAUUCGUCGGAAUCUGCCUUUUUGUGGGGGAUAACGUAGGGAAACUUACGCUAAUACCGCAUACGUCCUACGGGAGAAAGUGGGGGACCGCAAGGCCUCACGCAGAAAGAUGAGCCGACGACCGAUUAGCUAGUUGGUGGGGUAAAGGCCCACCAAGGCGACGAUCGGUAGCUGGUCUGAGAGGAUGAUCAGCCACACUGGGACUGAGACACGGCCCAGACUCCUACGGGAGGCAGCAGCGGGGAAUAUUGGACAAUGGGCGCAAGCCUGAUCCAGCCAUGCCGCGUGUGUGAAGAAGGCCUUCGGGUUGUAAAGCACUUUUGUCCGGAAAGAAAUCCCUGGAGCUAAUACCUUCGGGGGAUGACGGUACCGGAAGAAUAAGCACCGGCUAACUUCGUG